CGUGGGCUGCCCGGGCCCCACUCGCCUGCGCCUCCCGCGCGCAGCCCCUGCUGGGGAUCUGGGACUUCCUGCCCCGAACUGCGCCCUUGGCACACGCUUCGUUCCUCGCUUCCCCGACGGCCCCGAACUUCACCUCGCCCGCCGGGGUCCGCGCACGUUUGUAAGGCUGGAGGUUCUCGAGCGCCUGCUGCCCAGGACGCCCCCUCCCCCUCCCCUGAUGGAGGCCGAGAUGCUGCAGUCGCCUCUGCUGGGACUCGGGGAGGAAGAUGAGGCCGACCUUUCCGACUGGAACUUGCCUUUAGCUUUUAUGAAAAAGAGGCACUGUGAGAAGAUCGAAGGCUCCAAAUCCUUAGCUCAGAGCUGGAGGAUGAAGGAUCGGAUGAAGACAGUCAGUGUGGCCUUAGUUCUGUGCCUGAACGUGGGCGUGGAUCCUCCAGAUGUGGUGAAGACCACGCCUUGUGCACGCUUGGAAUGCUGGAUUGAUCCUCUGUCAAUGGGGCCUCAGAAAGCUCUGGAAACCAUUGGUGCAAAUUUGCAGAAGCAGUACGAGAACUGGCAGCCAAGGGCCCGAUACAAGCAGAGCCUCGACCCCACCGUGGAUGAAGUCAAGAAGCUCUGCACAUCACUGCGCCGAAAUGCCAAGGAGGAGCGGGUCCUCUUCCACUACAAUGGCCAUGGGGUGCCCAGGCCCACGGUGAAUGGUGAGGUCUGGGUCUUCAAUAAGAAUUACACUCAAUACAUCCCUCUGUCUAUAUACGACCUGCAGACUUGGAUGGGCAGCCCGUCCAUAUUUGUCUAUGACUGCUCCAACGCUGGCCUGAUCGUCAAGUCCUUCAAGCAGUUUGCCUUGCAGAGGGAGCAAGAGCUGGAGGUAGCUGCGAUUAACCCAAACCACCCACUUGCCCAGAUGCCCUUGCCCCCAUCGAUGAAAAACUGCAUCCAGCUGGCAGCCUGUGAGGCCAACGAGCUCCUGCCCAUGAUUCCUGACCUCCCAGCGGACCUGUUCACAUCCUGCCUCACCACCCCUAUUAAGAUCGCCCUGCGCUGGUUUUGCAUGCAGAAGUGUGUUAGUCUGGUACCUGGAGUCACACUGGAUUUGAUAGAAAAAAUUCCUGGCCGGCUGAAUGACAGGAGGACUCCUCUGGGCGAGCUAAACUGGAUCUUCACGGCCAUCACAGACACUAUCGCCUGGAACGUGCUCCCUCGGGAUCUGUUCCAAAAGCUCUUCCGACAGGACCUGCUGGUGGCGAGUCUCUUUCGAAAUUUUUUAUUGGCAGAAAGGAUCAUGAGGUCAUAUAACUGCACCCCGGUCAGCAGCCCACGACUGCCGCCGACCUACAUGCACGCCAUGUGGCAGGCCUGGGACCUGGCCGUGGACAUUUGCCUCUCUCAGCUGCCGACCAUCAUCGAGGAGGGCACUGCCUUUCGGCACAGCCCAUUCUUCGCUGAACAGCUGACCGCCUUCCAGGUGUGGCUCACGAUGGGCGUGGAGAACAGGAGCCCUCCGGAGCAGCUGCCCAUCGUCUUACAGGUGCUGCUAAGCCAGGUGCACCGGCUAAGAGCCUUGGACUUGCUGGGACGCUUUUUGGACCUGGGUCCCUGGGCAGUGAGCCUGGCACUGUCAGUGGGCAUCUUCCCCUAUGUGCUGAAGCUGCUCCAGAGCUCGGCCCGAGAGCUGCGGCCUCUCCUUGUCUUCAUCUGGGCCAAGAUCCUCGCCGUGGACAGUUCAUGCCAGGCUGACCUCGUGAAGGACAACGGUCACAAGUACUUCCUUUCCGUCUUGGCAGACCCGUACAUGCCAGCUGAGCACAGGACCAUGACGGCCUUCAUUCUUGCCGUGAUCGUCAACAGCUACACCACAGGGCAGGAAGCCUGCCUGCAGGGGAACCUGAUUGCUAUCUGCUUGGAACAGCUCAGCGACCCCCACCCCCUGUUGCGCCAGUGGGUGGCCAUCUGCCUGGGCAGGAUCUGGCAGAACUUUGACUCGGCGAGGUGGUGCGGGGUGAGGGACAGUGCCCAUGAGAAACUCUACAGCCUCCUCUCCGACCCCAUUCCUGAGGUCCGCUGUGCUGCUGUGUUUGCCCUGGGCACCUUCGUGGGCAACUCUGCCGAGAGGACAGACCACUCCACCACCAUCGAUCACAAUGUGGCCAUGAUGCUGGCCCAACUGAUCAAUGAUGGGAGCCCCGUGGUCCGAAAGGAGCUGGUGGUGGCUCUGAGUCAUCUUGUAGUUCAGUAUGAGAGUAAUUUCUGUACCGUGGCCCUGCAGUUCAUGGAAGAGGAGAAGAACUACCCCUUGCCUUCCCCAGCAACCACAGAGGGAGGGAGCUUGACCCCAGUACGAGACAGCCCAUGCACCCCCAGGCUCCGUUCAGUGAGCUCCUAUGGGAACAUCCGAGCCGUGACCACAGCUAGAAGCCUGAACAAGUCUUUGCAGAAUCUGAGCUUGACAGAAGAAACGGGCAGCUCAGUGGCCUUCUCCCCUGGGAACCUCAGCACCAGCAGCAGUGCCAGCAGCACCCUGGGCAGCCCAGAGAACGAGGAAUACAUCUUGUCCUUCGAGACCAUCGACAAGAUGCGGCGCGUGAGCUCCUACUCGGCCCUCAACUCACUCAUAGGAGUGUCUUUCAACAGUGUUUACACACAGAUCUGGAGAGUCUUACUGCACCUUGCUGCAGAUCCCUAUCCAGAUGUUUCCGACUUGGCCAUGAAAGUCCUCAACAGUAUCGCCUACAAGGCCACAGUGAAUGCCCGGCCCCAGCGCAUCCUCGACACCUCCUCGCUCACCCAGUCAGCCCCGGCCAGCCCCACCAACAAGGGAAUGCACAUCCAUCAAGUGGGAGGUUCCCCACCAGCAUCCAGCACCAGCAGCUGCAGCCUGACCAAUGACAUGGCCAAGCAGCCGGUCAGCCGUGACCUGCCCUCCAGCCGCCCGAGCACUGCGGGCCCAGCAGCAGCACAGUACACUCCCCACUCCCACCAGUUCCCCCGGACACGGAAGAUGUUUGACAAAGGCCCCGACCAGACCACGGACGAUGCCGACGAAGCGACUGGGCACAAAAGCUUCAUCUGUGCCGCCAUGCAGACAGGCUUCUGUGACUGGAGCGCCCGCUACUUCGCCCAGCCCGUCAUGAAGAUCCCUGAGGAGCACGACCUGGAGAGCCAGAUCCGCAAGGAGCGUGAGUGGCGCUUCCUGAGGAACACGCGCGUCAGGAAGCAGGCGCAGCAGCUCAUCCAGAAGGGCAUUACCAGACUAGAUGAUCAAAUAUUCCUGAACAGGAACCCCGGCGUCCCCUCCGUGGUCAAGUUUCACCCAUUUACUCCCUGUAUAGCCGUGGCUGACAAGGACAGCAUCUGCUUUUGGGACUGGGAGAAAGGGGAGAAGCUGGACUACUUCCACAACGGUAACCCACGGUAUACCAGGGUCACUGCCAUGGAGUACCUGAAUGGCCAGGACUGCUCCCUUCUGCUGACAGCCACAGAUGAUGGCGCCAUCAGGGUCUGGAAGAACUUUGCUGAUUUGGAAAAGAACCCAGAGAUGGUGACGGCAUGGCAGGGACUCUCAGACAUGCUGCCAACAACACGAGGAGCGGGGAUGGUGGUGGACUGGGAGCAGGAAACUGGACUCCUCAUGUGCUCAGGGGAUGUGCGGAUCGUGCGGAUCUGGGACACGGACCGUGAGACGAAGGUGCAGGACAUUCCUACGGGCGCUGAUAGCUGCGUGACUAGUCUGUCCUGUGACUCCCACCGCUCACUCAUUGUGGCUGGCCUGGGUGAUGGCUCCAUCCGUGUCUACGACAGGAGGAUGGCACUCAGUGAAUGCCGCGUCAUGACCUACCGGGAGCACACAGCUUGGGUGGUGAAGGCUUUCCUGCAGAAGCGCCCCGAGGGCCACAUCGUGAGCGUCAGCGUCAACGGCGAUGUGCGCUUCUUUGAUCCACGGAUGCCCGAGUCUGUGAACGUGAUGCAGAUGGUGAAGGGGUUGACAGCCCUGGACAUCCACCCCCAGGCAAACCUGAUCGCCUGUGGUUCCAUGAACCAGUUCACUGCCAUCUACAAUGGCAACGGCGAGCUCAUCAACAACAUCAAAUACUACGACGGCUUCAUGGGCCAGCGAGUCGGAGCCAUCAGCUGCUUGGCCUUCCACCCACACUGGCCUCAUCUGGCCGUGGGCAGCAACGACUACUACAUCUCCGUGUACUCGGUGGAGAAGCGCAUCAGAUAGCGGCGCGUGGGCACCCGCUAGGCCACGGCCCCUCCGGUGUACAUAGCGAACUGCCCCUCACCCUGGUGCAGCGCCUGCCCACUCUGCAAACCUUGGCUCCUGACUUGGCCACCGCCAAUUGAGCAGAGGGCCUGAGCUUUCUUUCUUUCUGUCUUCACUGUAAUAUCUGCAAAGCCCAUGGACCAGGAGGGCUUUGAUUUGAUGUCGCUUCCCAUCAAGAAGCAGCACCCAGGCACCAAGGCACCUCAUGAUGUCUCAAUGCAUCAUGGUCCCUUUCCUGGCCUGUGUCAUCUGAGGUUUUGCAAGGGUGCACAUUCAUUUUAUUUUCCAUGUGAUCAGAGCACUAGCUGCAGAAAGAUGGGAGCCUUGACAGAGAAGCUGCAUUAGGGCUCCUGCAGUCCCUGGCCAGCCCCACUGUCCUUUCGAGUUGUGAGCCUGGAACUUUCAGAGUGGGCUAGACAGUGCUGGGGUUGGAAGAACAGAGGGAAGGAGAGACGUCCUUUAAGGUCAGAGCUGUAGAACCAGGGGCCACUCAGCCCACCCACCCGUCACCACUGCUGUGCCACUGUGGCAUGAGGAGAAGGGCCCCAUUUGCACUUCUAGGGUCCAGUUUGGACCCCUUACGUGAAGCUGUUUGCAGGAGAGGGCUCUGGCUCAGGGUGCAAGGUGAGGCCCGUCUGUAGAAGCGGCUGCCUCAGGCCGCUCUCCCCAGGCCAGUGCCAGCAGCCUGGCCCCCAUCUUCCUGCCUGUGCUGCACACGCAUACAGGAACAUGGCCUUCCAUCCAUGCCUAAGCAUGUGCGGGUCCCUGGCCCCCCUGCCUGCAGUGGGUGCACAUGCAUGCAGGCACACAGACUCCCCUUGUGCACAUAUAUAGUCCCAUGUACAGGCACCAUGGUCUGCCACAGGUGCAUUCUCGUGUGUGCCCCAGUCUCCUGCCUGUGCCUCACACUCAUCACACACACAGGGCAGGGGCUGACUGGACCCAGAGGUCCGUGGUGGCGACAGCCCCGUCACUGGUAUGACUAAGGCUCAUGCUGCAGUCUUUAAUACAGAGGAGCUCCAGAGUGGCUCUAAUGUGCCUGGCUUGUGUGCACAUGCACAUGGUAGUCAGAGCUGUGUGGACAGUUGAGCCCUGGGAAGGAACGUAGACUUGCUGAGCAGUUGCACACAAGCAGGACACAGCCACAGUAAUGAUGUUUUGAAAGCAUUGUUUCAUUCCCCUUGGGAAUCAGGAUUUCUCAGAGGAGGAAGAGGCUUAAUCGAUUUGCCAAUGGGAAGCUAAUCACAGUGAGCAGGGAAGUCGGCAGGACGGAAGCUGGGUCCCCAUGCUGUGUCGGCUGUCCUGUUUUGGCAAGAGCAUCUUCCAAGUGGACAGAUCCCUGCAGGCAGUAUCAGGCUGACUACAGGGCCAGGCGGGGCUGGACAAGCAGGCUAGAGGAGGGGACCCUUGUGCUGCCCCAGAAAAAGGGCUCUCCCAGCAAUAGAGCAAUUGGAAGGAAGUCCCAUCCCCAUGAUUGGGCCACCCAGCAGCAUGGAGUCAGGAAGGCCCUAGAACUCCCCAGGAGGCCAUCUGUCCAGUUCUGCAGCGUGCUCUGCACAGCCCUCCACCUCGGCUCCAUGGACAGCAGCCAGAGCAACCUAAAAACGAGUCUGCCCUCGGACUGGGGCUGCCCCACUGUGCUCUGUCCACGUUCUCAAGGAAGCCUUCCUGCACGUCAACGCCCAUUGUAUCGCCUGCGUCCCCUGCCCUGCGCCACAGCAGGGCAGCCCAUGCCGGCGACGAGACUCCCUGGCCUUCAUCUCUUCCAACUCUAACGGCGGUUUCAAGACACUUGUUUCUCUGCAUGACCAUUACUUUCCUGUUUAGAUGCCCAGACAGCUGUGUUCCUGGGACCACCUUGAAUGACACUUGUGUAACGCCAGAAGCCAUCUCAGGAAACAGCUUCAAACAGAGUCCCGGCGUUGGUUAUGCAACACUGUGUGGGCAUGUUGUCGAGAUACGGAUGUCAUUUCCCUCUAAAACUCAUGUUGAAGCCCUAACCCCUGGCAUCUCCGAAUGUGACCUCUCUUGGAAAUAGGGCAGUUGAAGGAAAAGUCUCCCUCCUUGGAGUAGGUGGACCCUAAUCCGAAUGAUGGUAUCUAUAAAAAGGGAAGGAUCUGGACACACAGGGACACACACACACACACACACACACACACACACACACACACAGCAAAGCAUGGGAGGUGGAGGCAGAGGCAGAGCUUGGGCGAUGAUCCGGCCAGCGGAGGAGCAGAGAAUCGCAGUGCAGCGCCCUCUGAAGCUGGGGAGAGCCUGCCGCAGCCUCCCUUGGAGCCCUCACCCGCCGUCCCCCCCCCCCCCCACCACCACCAGCAGGCCACACAACAGCCAGCGCCUUGCGACAAGACGUCUCUGUUCUCCACACGGUCUGCUCAGUGGUGCUCAGUUAAGGCAGCCCAGGCAGCUCACACAGCAGUGGUCUUUCUGGAAAGCCAGAUUUGGGAAACCAAGGAAGAGCUCAAAGCAGCGUCAUGGUGGGAAGCGGGACCGCCAGGGCUGCGGGGUGGUCUGCUGCCGUCUGCCAGCACUGGGAAGAUUGCAUCUUUAACAUGACAUACGGGGGGCAAAAAUUCUCAGCUCAAGGCAGAGUGAGAAAAUCGAAAUAUGUGGGACUGCUAGAGAAGAAAAUCGAGUUUGUACUUUCUUUUUUUGGUGACAGGACCACUGUAUCUGACAGUCGUGCCCAGGCUUGGCCCUGCGGGAUACAGGAUUACAAGGUAAUUGAAUUCUCGGCCUCCCCAGGUCGCCUAUGUGAAAGAUGGUGCAUACAGCCAGAAAUCAUUGAGGAGGGGGGAGAGCUGAGGCUAACAAGGACCUCUCCCCAGAGGGCCUCACUGAACCUCCUCACAGCAGAAGCAGCCCUCCCCCUCCGGGAAGCUACCCUGCUUGCAGGCCACCCCUGUAGCAGUGAUGCACCUGAGGAAUCUGUCACUCUGUCACCUCCAGACCCUGACUGGAGCCAGGAAGAUGAGUAAACAUCUAUCACACACACAUCCCCCAACUCUCAGAUUUUACUAAUACUAGCACACUGGGGAGGGCUGGAGAUGGCUCAACAGUUAUGAGCACUUCCUGUGCAAGCUUGAGGG